CGAAAAGGUAUCACAUGCCAAGUU
rnacentral:siRNA from 1 species